rnacentral:sRNA from 1 species
CUUGCUGACGUGACCAGACGCUUGUCUGAGGAUUACGGCGUGCUGAAAACAGAUGAGGGCAUUGCCUACAGGGGCCUCUUUAUCAUCGAUGGCAAAGGUGUCCUUCGCCAGAUCACUGUUAAUGAUUUGCCUGUGGGACGCUCCGUGGAUGAGGCUCUGCGGCUGGUCCAGGCCUUCCAGUACACAGACGAGCAUGGGGAAGGUGAGCAGAUACACACAUGACACAUGGGUACAUACUGAGUGCCUCUGUCACUCAUGCAAACAUUCACUGCCUGUCCUCUUACCUGUCCAGAUGGGUGUUAGGGCCCCAAAGAAGUUUCAGCUCAGGGUUUUGUCUGCAGGAUGUUUCUAAUGUGGUAGGAGACAAAUACCCCUGACAUUCAACCAAGGCAGACAAAGGGGCCAGGCUCAGUGGCUCACGGUUGUAAUGCCAGCACUUUGGGAAGCUGUGGCGGGUGGAUCACCUGAGAUCAGGAGUUCGAGAUCAGCCUGACCAACAUGGUG